rnacentral:ncRNA from 1 species
GGGUUCGGCUGUUCGCCGAUCAAUAGCGGUACGUGAGCUGGGUUCAGAACGUCGUGAGACAGUUCGGUCCCUAUCUGAUGUGGGCGCAGGAGAUUUGAGGGAAGCUGUCCUUAGUACGAGAGGACCGGGAUGGCGGGACCUCCAGUAUUCCAGUUGUCCUGCCAAGGGCAACGCUGGUUAGCUGUGUCCCGAAGGGAUAACCGCUGAAAGCAUCUAAGCGGGAAGCCCCUCCCAAGAUAAGAUCUCCCGGGCCAUAAGGCUCCUGAAGGUCACUUGGAGACUACAAGUUUGAUAGGCCGGGUGUGUAAGCGCCGUAAGGCGUUAAGCUAACCGGUACUAAUCGACCGUGAGGCUUGACCAU